rnacentral:lncRNA from 1 species
GGCAAGCGCUCUACCACUGAGCUAAAUCCCCAACCCACCCACCCCAUUUUUUUCUAUAAGACAUUUUCUCAAUUAGUGAUGGAUGGGGAAGUGGAGCAAUCCAUUGUGGGUGGUGCCACCUCUGGGCCGGUGGUCCUGGGUUCUAUAAGAAAGCAGGCUGAGCAAGCCAGCGGGAACAAGUCAGUAAGCAGCAUCCCUCCAUAACCUCUAUGUCUGCUCCUGCCUGCAGGUUCCUGCCCUAUUUGAGUUCCUGUCCUGACCUCUUUCAUGGAUGGACAGUGUUGUGAAAGCAUAGGCCAAAUAAAUCCAUUCUUCCCCAGGUUGCUCUGGCCAUGAGGUCCGAUCACAGCAGCAGUGACCUAAGAGCAAUGGUUCAAGUGGUCUGGAUUCAUUGCCCAGCACCCACAUGGUAGCUCCCAACUGUCUUGGACUGCAGUUCCAGGGGAUCCAUUGCUGACUUCUGGCUUCCACGGGCACCAGGAGCACAUGAAGUACACAUACAUAUAGCAAGACACCCGUACACAUAAAGGGGAAAAGUAAUGUUUUCUAAAACUAAGGCGAAGAAUGGUUAAGGAGCACGCCUACCAUUGGCCUCUAGUCUAUGCACACAUUGACAGGAAUUAGGUGGCAGCAGUUUUGUGUGCUAUUUUGACUUUUUGUUUUGAGUCAGGAUCUCUCGUUUACGUAACCAUGGCUAUCCUGGAACUGGACACGAACACCAGGCUGACCUCAAACACAGAGACCCACCUGCUCCUGCCUCCCACAUACUGAGAUUAAAGGUAUGAGCGGGGCUGGAGAGAUGGCUCAGUGGUUAAGAGCACUGACUGCUCUUCCAGAGGUCAUGAGUUCAAUUCCCAGCAACCACAUGGUGGCUCACAGCCAUCUGUAAUGGGAUCUGAUGCCCUCUUCUGGUGUGUCUGAAGAUAGCUACAGUGUACUUGUAUAUAAUAAAUCUUAAAAAAAAAAAAAAAAAA